UACGGAGGGUGCAAGCGUUAAUCGGAAUUACUGGGCGUAAAGCGUGCGCAGGCGGUUUGUUAAGUCCGUUGUGAAAGCCCCGAGCUCAACUUGGGAAUUGCAGUGGAUACUGGCAGGCUGGAGUACGGUAGAGGAAGGUGGAAUUCCCGGUGUAGCAGUGAAAUGCGUAGAUAUCGGGAAGGAACACCAGUGGCGAAGGCGGCCUUCUGGACCAGUACUGACGCUCAUGCACGAAAGCGUGGGGAGCAAACAGG
rnacentral:rRNA from 1 species